UGUUGACAUGGCGAAUCAGUCAAAUCCAGCAAACAGACACCAAAUACAUUAUUCAAAUAUGAUUUAAUUAGUUAUUACUGGAAAAAAUCGCUGUCCAGUUAAAAUAUUAAUGAGUCGUUCAUCGUGUGUUAUGUUUUUUCUAGAGCGGCCAAGAUGAACUGGAAACUCUCCGCCACUCUUUUAUCACCAAGUUUUGAGUCAUACAAAUUGAUUGAACUCGAGCAAAUCAAUCUCAAGGGUCCACUGUCAUAAUCUUUGUUCUAUGGUAGGUUGUUGUCCAUAAAAUGGUCGGCAGUGACGAGGUAUGGAAUGCAGUGAUCAUAUAUUAAAAACGAAUAAAACAACUCUAAAGAACUACGACGUUGCGCAUCUGUACAUCUAUAGUCUAUGCCCUGGCGAGAUAAUAAUUGAACAAGCUGAUACACAGAGG